rnacentral:rRNA from 1 species
AGGUUUUGCACAUGGGCGCAACCCUCGACCCACGCCAUCGCCGCGUGCAGGGAUGAAGGUCUUCUGGUUUGGUAAACUCGCUUUUGCCCGGGGAAAAAACACUCCUUCCUGUAGGAACUUGACGGUCCCGUAAGAUUAACGAUCGGCUAACUCCAUGCCACCACCCCCGGUAAUAAAAAAAA